rnacentral:lncRNA from 1 species
AGCACCUCAGAGAUACCUCAGCCCAGGGCACAGUGCACCCUGGGGAUCCUUUGCUCCCAACCACCCCGAAGGAUGCAUCUGGAAUUUCUGCUUAUUGGGUGACGGUUUGUUUUCAUCAUUGCCAUUUUUAUUCACGAGACUGUCAACUAGGUCAGUAAUUCUUCAAAACCAAUCCUGGCAAAGCAUGGGAAGGAACCUUCAUUCUGCAGAAGCGUACACACCCUGAUAAGGUGUCAAGAACCUCCGUUUGAGUACCCCUCGGGUUAAGCCUGACUGGGCUGCCAGCCACCCUACAGGCAGAGCUGAUGUUCUGUGAUUAGCUUCACAUCAAGCAUGAGGUUGUGCCCCAAGAAGGGUUUCACUGUGCCCGGGGAGGUUCCCCUGA